GCUCUACUUCUGCUCUUCAAAGAUGCAUAGUUGUGGCCAGCAGCAGCUCAUUGUGAUUUAAAGUGACAGAGCCUUAACACAGCUGAAAGGAGCUCAGACAGGCAGAGCUGAUCUAACCUAACCGGUUCAAGGAAGCAUAAAAGGUAACCUUUAAUGUUUAGGAGAUUGAGAUGCUAAACAGGCGUGUUUGGUUGAACUUCAGGCUCAUCAGGAGACAUUUGUACUCAUAUUUUUAUUGUGACAUCUCAAAGUAAACUGCUGAUGUUGAAUUUAAAUGCGAGAACUUCGCCUCACCAUCUGGAAUAAAUAGUUUCCUCGUGUGACUACGCAUCUUGAGAUGAGGAAACGUCAGCUUCUGCAGCCUGAGACGCUUCAGGAACUGGUGACGAUUCUGGCCCAGCCGCGCUCUCCCUGAAAAACAGAAAACUUUUCAUUCCACAAGCAGACGGGACAGAGCAGCUGCGUCUCUACUCACCAAAUAACUGCAAAAUUUCACAUUUCAAAAAUAAAUCUGCUCAAUGGAAAUUAGUCAGGUAAAAAAAAACGUGUUUUUUGAUUAAAGGUUUUGCUGCUAGGAUUUUUUUAGCCAUAUCAAAAUUAGUUUAUCUCACAAAGCUGCAACAAAAGCACUUUUUUCACCUGGUGGAGGAAGUUUGCCCCUCCACCUUCUUCAAACCAGAGAAUAUUUGUGCUACAUUUGUGCCGCUAUCAAUUCAAACAUAUUAAUAAUUGUUUCCAGAGGUCAUGAAAGGUCAACCAACCCUGCCACCUUCUUCAAAUCAGACAAUAUUGGUGUUAUUCAACUCUGCUACGUUUGUGCUGCAAAAAAUUUAGUUUGUGCUGCAUUUGGUUUGAAAAUAAUCAAGUUUAAAGGUCAGAAGGUCAACAAGCA